rfam:Terrisporobacter sp. 08-306576 Contig032, whole genome shotgun sequence.
UAAAAAGGUAGAGGUUGCGAUAUUUAAGAGUAGAUUUGUGGAGUUAAGCACGAAGAAGCAAAUCAAAAGGAAAUGUCGCCGAAACAUAUAACUAAUGCUUUAAAGUUAUAUCGUUGGGAUUAUACAGAAUAUGUAUAAUACUGUCAUAAAUAUUAUUUAUGGGGAGCUAUCAUGACG